ACGCUCGACACCUACGGGGGCAGCAGUGGGGAAUAUUGCACAAUGGGGGAAACCCUGAUGCAGCGACGCCGCGUGGAGGAAGAAGGUCUUCGGAUUGUAAACUCCUGUUGUUGGGGAAAAAGAGGAUGGUACCCAACAAGGAAGUGACGGCUAACUACGUGCAGCAGCCGCGUAAUCUGAGCGGGCUGGCAAGGC
rnacentral:rRNA from 1 species